UGCUGAUCAUGCAUUGAACCUAGUGGACAAA
rnacentral:piRNA from 1 species